UGUGGGUGCCACAGAUCGGCACAUCAAACAAAGGCAUAUGCUAAAGCACAGAACGGAUCACAUAAAUACAGGGCUAGAAGUAUGAGUACUAUAUUGAAUAAAUGGCGACAGCAGAAAUCAUUGUCUUCUUCCUACUCUUGAGUGAAAACAGCCAGUCUGUCACUACUAAAUAUGAUGCUAGCUGAAGGGAUUUUAUAGAUGCCCUCUAUCAAGUUAAGGGAAUGUCUCGUGCAUGGGCGUGGAUGAUCAAAGGUCAGCUCUUGGUCAAUGUAAGUAAACAAACCUGUUUAAGAUAAAUUUCCCUAUACUCCCUUGUACCUACUCCUUGCCCUCUGCCUCAGGGUUAUAGAACAGUUGCCUUCAGCUAUUCUCCCCCAGGGCUCUGCAAAACUUUCUGACCUUUCCGAAGGUUUGCAUCCUUUCCCUGUAGUUUUUCCCACCACUCUGACUGAUCCCCCACAUCACAAGAAAUAUUAUUUCAUGGGAAAGUGAAA
rnacentral:lncRNA from 10 species